rnacentral:tRNA from 1 species
AAAGAUUGGUGAUUCCCGACCACCUCUAGUGA